GGACUACCGGGGUAUCUAAUCCCGUUUGCUCCCCUGGCCUUCGUGCCUCAGUGUCAGGAACUGUCCAGAGACCCGCCUUCGCCACUGGUCUUCCUUACGAUCUCUACGCAUUUCACUGCUACACCGUAAAUUCCAGUCUCCUCUCCAGUCCUCAAGCACUGCAGUAUGGAAUGCAGUCCCGGGGUUAAGCCCCGGGAUUUCACACCCCACUUACAGCGCCACCUACGCACCCUUUACGCCCAAUGAAUCCGAACAACGCUCGGGACCUCUGUAUUACCGCGGCUGCUGGCAC
rnacentral:rRNA from 1 species